GACGAACGCUGGCGGCGUGCUUAACACAUGCAAGUCGAACGGAAAGGCCCUGCUUUUGUGGGGUGCUCGAGUGGCGAACGGGUGAGUAGCACGUGAGUAACCUGCCCUUGACUUUGGGAUAACUUCAGGAAACUGGGGCUAAUACCGGAUAGGAGCUCCUGCUGCAUGGUGGGGGUUGGAAAGUUUCGGCGGUUGGGGAUGGACUCGCGGCUUAUCAGCUUGUUGGUGGGGUAGUGGCUUACCAAGGCUUUGACGGGUAGCCGGCCUGAGAGGGUGACCGGCCACAUUGGGACUGAGAUACGGCCCAGACUCCUACGGGAGGUAGCAGUGGGGAAUAUUGCACAAUGGGCGGAAGCCUGAUGCAGCAACGCCGCGUGCGGGAUGACGGCCUUCGGGUUGUAAACCGCUUUCGCCUGUGACGAAGCGUGAGUGACGGUAAUGGGUAAAGAAGCACCGGCUAACUACGUG
rnacentral:rRNA from 1 species